rnacentral:rRNA from 1 species
CCUACGGGUGGCAGCAGUGGGGGAUAUUGGACAAUGGGGGGAACCCUGAUCCAGCGACGCCGCGUGAGUGAAGAAGUGUUUCGGUAUGUAAAGCCCUAUCAGCAGGGAAGAAGAUGACGGUACCUGACUAAGAAGCCCCGGCUAACUACGUGCCAGCAGCCGCGGUAAUACGUAGGGGGCAAGCGUUAUCCGGAUUUACUGGGUGUAAAGGGCGUGUAGGCGGGACUGCAAGUCAGGUGUGAAAGCCACGGGCUCAACCUGGGGCCUGCAUUUGGAACUGCAGGUCUGGAGUACUGGAGAGGCAGGCGGAAUUCCUAGUGUAGCGGUGAAAUGCGUAGAUAUUAGGAGGAACACCGGUGGCGAAGGCGGUCUGCUGGACUGCGACUGACGUUGAGGCGCGAAGGCGUGGGGAGCAAACAGGAGUAGAUACCCUUGUAGUC